rnacentral:rRNA from 1 species
GACGAACGCUGGCGGCGUGCUUAACACAUGCAAGUCGAACGGAAAGGCCCUGCUUGCCGGGUACUCGAGUGGCGAACGGGUGAGUAACACUUGGGUGAUCUGCCCUGCACUUCGGGAUAAGCCUGGGAAACUGGGUCUAAUACCGGAUAGGAGCCAUUUUUAGUGUGAUGGUUGGAAAGUUUUUUCGGUGUAGGAUGAGCUCGCGGCCUAUCAGCUUGUUGGUGGGGUAAUGGCCUACCAAGGCGGCGACGGGUAGCCGGCCUGAGAGGGUGGACGGCCACAUUGGGACUGAGAUACGGCCCAGACUCCUACGGGAGGCAGCAGUGGGGAAUAUUGCACAAUGGGCGCAAGCCUGAUGCAGCGACGCCGCGUGGGGGAUGACGGCCUUCGGGUUGUAAACUCCUUUCGCUAGGGACGAAGCUUUUGUGACGGUACCUAGAUAAGAAGCACCGGCUAACUACGUG